AAGGCCUUAGCUUAAUUAAAGUGUCUGGGUUGCAUUCAGAAGAUGUGGUAUGAAGUUCCGCAGGUUUUA
rnacentral:tRNA from 1 species